UACGUAGGUGGCAAGCGUUGUCCGGAUUUACUGGGCGUAAAGUGUGCGCAGGCGGCCGCGCAAGUCGAGUGUGAAAUCCCCGGGCUUAACUUGGGAAUUGCGCUCGAAACUACGUGGCUGGAGUGUGGCAGAGGAAGGUGGAAUUCCACGUGUAGCGGUGAAAUGCGUAGAGAUGUGGAGGAACACCGAUGGCGAAGGCAGCCUUCUGGGCCAACACUGACGCUCAUGCACGAAAGCGUGGGGAGCAAACAGG
rnacentral:rRNA from 1 species